GACUUUUCCUAGUCCCUGAGACCCUAACUUGUGAGGUAUUUUAGUAACAUCACAAGUCAGGCUCUUGGGACCUAGGCGGAGGG